GGCAUGCAUCACAACCAUCUAGAUGCACCCUUUCAUCUUCCAAAAUUAUAUAUACUUCAAAAAUUAAAAAAAUACUUACCUAAUUUAACUAUUGGAAGAUUGUAGACACUCACAUGAUGCAUCUAGCAGCUCCCAUAUAUACCUUCUCAUAUUGACCCAUGUCACAACCAUCCACAUAUACCGUCUCAUUUUUUGAAAAUAUACAUACA
rnacentral:lncRNA from 1 species